rnacentral:rRNA from 1 species
GAUGAACGCUGGCGGCGUGCUUAAUACAUGCAAGUCGAACGGAAGGGCGAGACGUUUGUGUGUCUCUUGAUUGCCGAACGCGGGUGUAUCACACGUGUAUCCUCCCCUUAUCAUAGGGGUAUAACUAGGAAACUGGGGCUAUUAUCGCAUAGGAGCUCUUGCUGCGUGGGGUUGAUUGGUGAGAUUCGGUGGUUGUGGAUCGUAUCGCGGGUUAUGCGCUUGAUUGGCAGGUAGUUGCUUACCAAGGCUUUGACGGGUAGCCGGCCUGGGAGGGUGACCGGCCACAUUGGGACUGAGGUACGGCGCAGACUCCUACGUGCGGCAGCAGUGGGGAGUAUGGCAGAGUGGGCGGGAGCGUGAUGCAGCAACGCCGCGUGCGGGAUGAUGGCUUUCGAGUUGUAAACCGCUGUCGCCGGUGACGAGGCGUGAGUGACGGUAAUUGGUAAGGAAGCACCGGCUAACUACGUG